ensembl:lncRNA
CAGCCGUUCUGUAUGAACAGGUACCAUUUCUGAUUUUAUUUCAUCAUAACAUACAGGUAAUGCUCAUGACACAACGAGAAACUCACAUCGCUCUGAACCAUUUAAACAGCUUGCCAUACACCAAAGAACAUUAUAUUCAUAUUGAACAUGUACACAUCUCCCCCCUCGCAUCCUCCACUUCGCUUUCCAAACUUCUACAAACCAUUUCCAGCAUUGUUCAGGUACAGGACACGAGUUCAGACAGGAGACAGGGCACCAUCCUGGGCAGGACAUGGGGUUAAGGCUUCCUCCUACAGGAAGUAUACUGAGCCUACAGCUUUGAUUCAUUCAGGGACUGUAGCCUACUGGAAAUCAGGAGGAGCCACAAGACCAGAUUUCAGUUCCUCAGGAGGCGAUUAACCAAACAAAACCCAAACAUAUGUAUCUGUACAGAGAGAAGGGGAGAACACAUGUGUGCGAAGGAGCACAAAGGACAGGAAGGUUCUGUUUCUGCCUCUAGGGAUUGAUUUGUGUUAGCCCCCCAUUAACUGAUUUAAAUCAAAGACAUGGGCUUUUACUGAAAUCUGGCUGAGAGGAGCACUGCUAAACUGUUUACAUAGGUAUGUAUACACACACUGGAGUGAGUGUAUAUGCUGCAAAUGGUUGUAAUGUAAUUGCUUUCACUUGAUACAUAAACAGAAACAAGUGGCAGUAUGUUUAAUGAAUAACCAAGACCUGACAUGCUUUCCAGUGUGGUGUCAACCUACACCUUGCCUGGACUACCCCUUCCUCCAGCAUCUCAUACACCCAGCAUGAACACAGCCUCUGGGUUCAGUUACUCCUGGUGCUGCCUCUCUGCCGUUUGCACUUUUUAGGAUCAAGUUAAUUAAGGCUGUAGCUUUCAGUGCUAUUUUCAGCAGUCUGCUGUAGGAAAUUAAAGUCACAUCCUAGCCACAAAACAAAACAAAACAAUGACAAAAUCUUCUGCACUUUUCAGUAUAGUAAAACCUGAGAUUUGAGUCACAAACUAGCUAAACUUACAGUAAAAAACCAAACAUAACCCAAGCUGCUGACUUGAAUUAGGGCUUCAGUUUGCUGCUGAAAAUUUCUUUUUAAAGCUGUUGGCCAGGGGUAAGUAUUUGUUACAUGUGAUUUACAAUUUUCAGCUGCCUGCACUGAAAUGGGACAAAACACUACAGUUCCCCCCAAAACACGUUCUGGGAGGUAAGGUAACUCGUGUGCAGCUCCCAUUGGAGCAGGAAGGAUGAAGCUUUACGCUGUGCCUCUGGUACCACCCGUUGCUGACUGUAAACCUUUUGCAGCAGUGUGCACAUAGACCAACUUGAGCCAUGGCACCGCAGGAAUGGCAAGCGGGAGGGGAAACAGCUGGUUUGCUGUCAGAAACAACACAAGAAGGGCUGUGCCUCAUCUCCCAUGAAACACGUAUUCCCUUGGGUGGCGAGGAUGCGGUGCCAGCCAGCAGCAGCCAAAUCACACGUCAGCGCGGUGGGAAACCAGGACCCUGCACUGGGACGGAGGACAAGGGCCAGGAUCGAGUUCUUUGCAGCUGCUAGUGCGGGAGGUAAGCAGGCUUCCCACUGAAGCUGUCCCUUCCCAAACCCCCCGCUCCUUCACUCCACACUAAGAGAUGGGAUGCUGGAAGCCCCCUUCUGUUUCCCUUGGACAGCCAGCCAGAUUUCUCUUUCUCAGAUGAAGUCAGCACACCUGAAGAGAAGCUUCUUUCUCCAAGUCCCCAUCCAUGUUGGGAUGGAAAAACCAACCACCUGCAUUAUCCUCACCCCACGCAUGACUGGAACCAUAUAUGAAGAGCAGUUUCUUAAUGAUACAGCUCAGCUAAGGACAAAAGCCCACUCCAACUCAACUUCAGCUUUCAAAAAACACCAGGAAAAAAGCCUUCAAGAGCCA